UACGUAGGGUCCGAGCGUUGUCCGGAAUUAUUGGGCGUAAAGAGCUCGUAGGCGGUUUGUCGCGUCGACUGUGAAAACCCGAGGCUUAACCUCGGGCCUGCAGUCGAUACGGGCAGACUAGAGUUCGGUAGGGGAGACUGGAAUUCCUGGUGUAGCGGUGAAAUGCGCAGAUAUCAGGAGGAACACCGGUGGCGAAGGCGGGUCUCUGGGCCGAUACUGACGCUGAGGAGCGAAAGCGUGGGGAGCGAACAGG
rnacentral:rRNA from 1 species